AUUUCGUGCAAAUUCUGAAGUUCUAAAUAUAUUUCCAGAAUAACAGAAAAUAUCAUCUGCCUUCAGAAGAAGCUGAGAUGCAGUAUUAUGGAGCUGAAUCAAGAAAAUAGAAGAUAGAUCUACUGUGAGCCACACAAUGACAAGUCUUCAUGAACAUCCCUCUCAACUCAGCGAAGCUCAUGACUGGAUGAAGACCUGGACCUUAUGUGCCACAGGAUGUGUUGAGACACAACUGUUUAAAAAGGAUGAGGCAAAGCACAAAGUCAGGAAGCAGCAGGGGAGGCAGCUCCUGAGGGACUGGAUAGCUGAACACAUAGCAUCAAUAUCUUUGGACUACUUGCGUAUUGAUAUUGCCCUCUGAGCUGGGUCUGUCUGGGACAAAGUUAAUUUUCCCUGCAGCAGCCCAUACAGUUCUGUGCUCUGCACUUGCAGCUGGAACAUCAUUGGUAUCACACCAGUGUUUUGUCCACUGAUGAGCAGUGCUAGCACAGCAUCAGGACUCCCUCCAAACACCUCCAGAACCAGCAGGGGUUAAGAAGUGGGGAGAGAACAUCAUCAGAGAAGCUGAGCUAAACCUACCAAAAGGAUAUUCCAUACCAUAUGGUGUCAUACUCAGCAAUGAAAGGUGGGAAAGGGGAAAGAGGGUUAGGGGCUCUUAUUGUGAAAACAUCUGUCCUCUCAAACAACUACUAUGUGUAUUGAGGUCCUGCUUCCAAAGAUGAGACCAAACAUUGCCCAUUGAUGGGAAUUAGAGAUUAUUUUUUUUUUAUCUCUGUGCUUCUGCAUGGCUUUUGCUUGUUCUUUUCUCUCUUCCUUUUCCCUUUAAUUAAACGAUCCCUAUCUCAACCUGUGAGCCUUUAUUUAUUUCUGCUUUUCUUUCCAGCAUACAUUCUUCCUCCCCUCUUCUCCUGAGGGGGUAUGCAGGGGUGGUGAGAGAGCGACUGCAGUGGAGUUUCACUGCCCAGCAAGGUAAAUCCAGUGUCCUCACAUUUUCAUUUCCAUUACGAAGAGAACAGAAGAAUAUGUUUACAAUGUACCAGAGAAC
rnacentral:lncRNA from 1 species